rnacentral:tRNA from 1 species
GUGUAGCUCAGUUGGUUAGAGCGCCGGCCUGUCACGCCGGAGGUCGCGGGUUCGAGCCCCGUCACUC